rnacentral:rRNA from 1 species
UGCCCUUAAAAAGCGGCGAGUGAAGCGGCAAAAGCUCAAAUUUGAAAUCUGGCACCUUCGGUGUCCGAGUUGUAAUUUGAAGAUUGUAACCUUGGGGUUGGCUCUUGUCUAUGUUUCUUGGAACAGGACGUCACAGAGGGUGAGAAUCCCGUGCGAUGAGAUGCCCAAUCCUAUGUAAGGUGCUUUCGAAGAGUCGAGUUGUUUGGGAAUGCAGCUCUAAGUGGGUGGUAAAUUCCAUCUAAAGCUAAAUAUUGGCGAGAGACCGAUAGCGAACAAGUACAGUGAUGGAAAGAUGAAAAGAACUUUGAAAAGAGAGUGAAAAAGUACGUGAAAUUGUUGAAAGGGAAGGGUUUGAGAUCAGACUCGAUAUUUUGUGAGCCUUGCCUUCGUGGCGGGGUGACCCGCAGCUUAUCGGGCCAGCAUCGGUUUGGGCGGUAGGAUAAUGGCGUAGGAAUGUGACUUUGCUUCGGUGAAGUGUUAUAGCCUGCGUUGAUGCUGCCUGCCUAGACCGAGGACUGCGAUUUUAUCAAGGAUGCUGGCAUAAUGAUCCCAAACCGCCCGUCUUGAAACACGGACCAAA